UACGUAGGGUGCGAGCGUUAAUCGGAAUUACUGGGCGUAAAGCGUGCGCAGGCGGCGCGUUAAGACAGGUGUGAAAGCCCCGAGCUUAACUUGGGAAUUGCGCUUGUGACUGGCGUGCUGGAGUUCGGGAGAGGAUGGUGGAAUUCCCAGUGUAGAGGUGAAAUUCGUAGAUAUUGGGAAGAACACCGAUGGCGAAGGCAGCCAUCUGGACCGACACUGACGCUGAGGCGCGAAAGCGUGGGGAGCAAACAGG
rnacentral:rRNA from 1 species